UACGUAGGUGGCAAGCGUUGUCCGGAAUUAUUGGGCGUAAAGCGCGCGCAGGCGGUCCUUUAAGUCUGAUGUGAAAGCCCACGGCUCAACCGUGGAGGGUCAUUGGAAACUGGGGGACUUGAGUGCAGAAGAGGAAAGCGGAAUUCCACGUGUAGCGGUGAAAUGCGUAGAGAUGUGGAGGAACACCAGUGGCGAAGGCGGCUCACUGGCUCAUAUCUGACGCUCAGGCGCGACAGCGUGGGGAUCAAACAGG
rnacentral:rRNA from 1 species